rnacentral:tRNA from 1 species
GCGGGUAUAGUUCAGCGGUAGAACCCCAGCCUUCCAAGCUGGUUGCGCGAGUUCGAUUCCCGCUACCCGCUCCA